GAAACGCGAUAGUUAAUGUGAAUUGCAGAAUUCAGUGAAUCAUCGAAUCUUUGAACGCACAUUGCGCCCCUUGGUAUUCCAUGGGGCAUGCCUGUUCGAGCGUCAUUUGUACCCUCAAGCUCUGCUUGGUGUUGGGUGUUUGUCCCCGUCUCCGCGCGUGGACUCGCCCCAAAGUGAUUGGCAGCCGGCGUACUGGUCCCGGAGCGCAGCACAUGUCGCGCAAACGAGUGCCUUGGUACGGCGGCGUCCAUAAGCCCCUCUCUCACGCUCUUGACCUCGGAUCAGGUAGGGAUACCCGCUGAACUUAAGC
rnacentral:misc_RNA from 1 species